CUUUACUCAGGGCGAAGAGCUCAGCACCAGUGAGUCUCCCCAGCAGUGUUACUGUCCUGAAUGGAGAGAGAGAUAAGGGACAGUAAGGUGGUCAGAAGUGUUACUGUCCUGAAUGUAGAGAGAGACAUGGGACAGUAAGGUGGUCAGAAGUGUUACUGUCCUGAAUGGAGAGAGAGAUAUGGGACAGUAAGGUGGUCAGAAGUGUUACUGUCCUGAAUGGAGAGAGAGAUAAGGGACAGUAAGGGGGUCAGAAGUGUUACUGUCCUGAAUGGAGAGAGAGAUAAGGGACAGUAAGGU